CCGGCUGUGAUGACAAACACGAUGUUUGAGCCCCCCGUGAUGAUGGCGUAUUCGUACUGUCUGAUCCGG